rnacentral:rRNA from 1 species
UACGGAGGGUGCAAGCGUUAUCCGGAUUUACUGGGUUUAAAGGGUGCGUAGGUGGGCUUGUAAGUCAGUGGUGAAAUCUCCGUGCUUAACAUGGAAACUGCCAUUGAUACUAUGGGUCUUGAAUUAUCUGGAGGUUAGCGGAAUAUGUCAUGUAGCGGUGAAAUGCUUAGAUAUGACAUAGAACACCAAUUGCGAAGGCAGCUGGCUACAGGUACAUUGACACUGAGGCACGGAA